GGACCACCUCAGUGAUGUGCUAAUGUGCACUAUGAAGCUAAGUGCAGUGGGUGUGGGGACAGGCUGUUAGGGCCAAAUUGUGUUCCCUGAAGUUGUGUGGAAUCCCUGACGACUGGCACCUCAGAUGUGACUAUAUUUGGAGAUAAGGCCUUUACAGAGGCAAUUACGGUAAAAUGAGGUCAUUAGGGUGGGCCCUAAUGCAAUAUGACUGGUGUCCUAGAGAGAAGAGGAAACCAGGAGGAUGCAGCCAUGUGCGAGGGAAGACCCCGCACCUUGAUUUCAGACUUCCAGCCUCCAGAGCUGUGAGAAAUACAUUUCUGCUGUUUAAGACACUCAGCCUCUGCGGCACUUUGUUAUGGCAGCCCGGGCAGACUUAGACAGAGGUCCUGUGGAAGCUCACCUUCUUCCUUGGUGCCACGAGAAUCCCUGGGCCUCCUCCUCAUCCCCUCCACUCCUUUUUCGAUCCUGGGAAACAGCCUUUAGAGAGCUGCUUGGACCACAGAAAGGGUAUCCUAAAGAUGUCAUGAGGAUUCAAGAGUCAUCCCACAGGGGUGUGCCGGGAAAAGGGUGGUGAAAGGCCAGGCUGGAGUGCCGGUCCCCGUGGAAAGGCCCCACAGCCGAGGAUCAGCCCUACUGCUACCUGGACUAAGAUCUUGUCCACACGUGUUAAGUGCACUUGGAGUACUACCGGGAACAUCGCCCUUGGGAAUGCCUUGGCAUGUAAUAGUUUGAAGCGAGUAAAAACUCACAGCUAGCUAUACGCUGUAGGUUAUUUCAAAGAAAAUCAUAUAGACAGAUAAAGCAUAUGUGGCAAAUUUUUGCCAAUUGGUCAAUUUGGGUAAAGACUAUAUGGGAGUUUUGUUUGUUUUGUUUGAGACAGAGUCUCGCUCUGUCGGCCAGGCUGGAGUGCAGUGGUGUGGUCUCGGCUCACCGCAACCUCCGCCUCCUGGGUUUCAGCAAUUCUCCUGCCUCAGCCUCCAGAGUAGCUGGGAUUACAGGCGCAUGCCACCACACCCAGCUAAUUUUUUGUAUUUUUAGUAGAGAUGGGGUUUCACCAUGUUGGCCAGGCUAGUCUCGAACUCCUGACCUCAGGUGAUCCAUCUGCCUCAGCCUCCCAAAGUGCUGGGAUGACAGGCAUGAGCCACCGCACCCGGCCUGAGUAUAUGGGAGUUAUUUGUACAAAUCUUCUGCCUCAUAUGUAAGUUUGAAAUAAUCUCAAAAAGCUGAAGAAAAAAAAGUAAAUAUCUGAAUUUGAGCACAUCCAUUUUUACAUAAACCAUCAGCCUGUUAGUGCUUUUGGAUGGAGGAAGAGUAUGGGUGCUUAGACUCUGCUGAAGGACGCUGUCCUUUUUGGAAAAUACAACAAGUGAAUGAAGUCUAGCCCAUCCAAGUGCCAUUCCCUGGAACGCUGUGUUCUCACCCAGGCUCUGCUGGUUGGAAGCUGUGUGACCUUGGGUGAGAAAUCUAACCUCUCUGAACCUCGGUGUGCUCAGCUGUGAAAUUAAAGUAACAUACCCUUUGUCAUCGCUCGUAAUGUUAAGGAAGAUUAAAUGAGAUCAUCAAGGAGUAAUUUGCAUAUUGUAAGAAACAAAAGAUUAAGAAGGGAGGUAGAAAAACAAAGGUUAACAAAAUUGCUUACCAAAAACAGGUCCCGGAUAAAGAACUUGGCUCUUGUAACUUUGGGAUCUUCUCCUGCAUCUGGUGUUGCUGUAGAAAUGACAAAUGGAACUUUAUUUAAGCAACAUGAAACAAAGAUACAACUCUACGAAAACACAGAAGGAAUUUCAACGUUAGACUGCUGUAUAUUCCCAGCAUUAAAAUACAUGUACAGCAAGGCAAAAACAAACAUGUACUUUUUUUUUUAAGAGACGGAGUCUCACUCUCUUGCCCAGGCUGGAGUGCAGUGGCAUGAUCUCGGCUCACUGCAACCUCCACCUCCCCGGUUCAAGUGAUUCUCCCACCUCAGCCUCCCUACUAGCUGGAAUUACGGGCACCCGCCAUCACAACUGGCUAAUUUUUGUAGAGACAGGGUUUCACCAUGUUGGCCAGUCUGGUCUCAGACUCCUGACUUCAGGGCCACCUUGGCCUCCCAAAGUGCUGGGAUUACAAGCGUGAGUCACUGCGCCCAGCCAAACAUGUAAUUUUCAUUGCCCUCUUCUCCUACAUCAUUUUAAUAGUUAUUGCUCUGAUAAAACUUUUCUCUGGGGGUGCUAUGGUCUCAAUGUUUUUGUCUCCUCCAAAUUCAUAUGUUGACUGCUAAUCUCCAAUGCAACAAUAUCAAGAGGGGCAGCCUUUGAGAGGUGAUGAGGUCACGAGGGCUCCGCCUUCAUGGAUGGGAUUAUAUCCUUGUAAGAGGCCUGAGAGAGACCCCUCACCCUCUCCACCAUGUGAGGAGGAAAUGAGACAGUGCCAUCUAUGAAGCAGAGAAACCCUUACCAGACACUGAAUCGGCCGGUGUCUUAAUCUUUGACAUUUCAG
rnacentral:lncRNA from 10 species